rnacentral:rRNA from 1 species
ACGGAGGGUGCAAGCGUUAUCCGGAAUCAUUGGGUUUAAAGGGUCCGUAGGCGGGCUAAUAAGUCAGGGGUGAAAUCCCACAGCUUAACUGUGGAACUGCCUUUGAUACUGUUAGUCUUGAGUUAUAUGGAAGUAGAUAGAAUGUGUAGUGUAGCGGUGAAAUGCAUAGAUAUUACACAGAAUACCGAUUGCGAAGGCAGUCUACUACGUAUAUACUGACGCUAAUGGACGAAAGCGUGGGGAGCGAACAGG